UAGAACCUCAAUACCUCAUGCAGAAAAUAUCGGUGCAAGACAAUGUCAUAAAUAAGCUAAAUAAUCUCAAAAUUAUGAGGUGUCGUCUCAUGGUUGACUCUUCUGAAUAUAAACUUCUACAGAUGUUUAAAAAAUGUAGGUUUCUUUUGACUGCGUCGCAUAUUCAGCUAGAUACAUACAGAACUCAUCAGGAAAAAUAUGUUAAAAACAUGUUUAACCAUUUGCAUUUCUACUUAUCUUUUGUAGGAGAAAGGAAUGUCACUUUGUAUAUGAGAAAGUGCAACCAUCACAGAUCCGUUACAAUACAGUUUUAUGUAAUCAAGUAUGUGUUUCAAACAGAUGACAUGAUUCCAUUUGUCUACUUUUGUCGCACUGUUUGGUUGAUUUAUUCUCUGCUGAAUGAGUAGAAACACAUCAGAAUGAAUUUCGAUACAACCUGAGUUUUCUAUGCUAUUUACAACAUCCAUCAUGGACAAAAUUUUAGAGGCAACAUUUCAUAUGCAGGGUCAAUUGCCCCUGGAUGAAACAAAAUUCACAGGAUACCAGAUAAUUCAUCUCUGUGACUUUCACUGAAUGCAGAUAUUACUUUUUAAUAGCUUGUAAUUGCAGAAGAUUAUCAUAGGGUACAUGAAUUUCAAGUUGCGUUCGCUAGACUGACAGGAGAAAUGUAAUGUACUUGGCUAGGUAGCUCUCAGGAUUUGCUAAGGAAAACACACAAAGUUGAGUAGAUUGUAGACAAAUAUCCAUUUGCUAGCUCGAUUUAGCAAGAUCCUUCAAAGAGCUGCACAAUCCCCACUUACCCCAAACACUGCAAGCGAAUCCA
rnacentral:misc_RNA from 1 species